ensembl:lncRNA
AGGAAAGCACUUGGUGAAAUACCAUUUCACAUUUUUCGUGCUUCUGUUUCAGUCGUGAACAGUGUGUCUCUCUGAGCGAACUACUGAAGAAGUUCCAGAGCUGCCGAAAUCGCUUGGGCAGCACUUUGCAGAAAGCAGAGCAGACUAUUGGUGACCAGGCCUCCUAUAUUGGCAAAGACAACCUGCAGCUCCUGAUCAGUAAGGUACAGAAAUACUGAAAAAUCCUGUGUGCAGUGCUUCCAUUCUUGGUGGACUGCAGGUGGCAGUAUUAACCUCAUUGUUUUAGAUGAUUUUUAGUGUUAACUACAUGUAUACAACAUAUUCAUUAGAUAAAACUGGGGAUAGAAUGAGUAUAAAUAACUACAUGACUAUUAUUUAUAUUUUGUGUAUGUGUGCAGGUGACCAGUAUAAAGACAGAUCUCAGUGGUCUUGGGGACAGGGUGGAGGAGUUCAGAGCUGUGUGUCGACAGCUGCAGUCUCUGAUGAGAAGGAUCCCAGACUGUGCUGAAGCUCCAUUUGAGAGUGAGGCUGACACCCUCAUGGACCGCUGGCUUGAUGUAUGUUCCCUCAGUAAUGCCGUAGUGUGAUUGAAAUACUCUCACUCUAUUUUUCUAAUAAUGUUCAGUGUUUGCAUUAACCUGCUAUUUCAGGUCACCGAGAAAGCAGACUGUCAUCUGGACAACCUUCAAGCUGGCUUCUCUCUUUGGGAAAAACUCCAACUGCUGGCUGGAGAGGUGGAGGGCUGGAGCGCCCAAAAGCUGAUGACACUUGCUGAGUCACACCCCUUUCAGACAGAGCAGGAUGUGUCUGCCAUGCAGGAUGAACUCAGGAUACAAGAGGAGAACAUUGAACAUUUCCAUCGCAGAUCUUCAGAGAUCCAGGAGCUGCUGCAGAGUCGCGAGCUCCCACUGGAGCUACAGGUGAUUACACACACCAGCAACUUUUCACAAUGCUAUUUUUUUUUAAUUAAUGCUAGACAAUGUGUAAUGACAUUUGUAUGCAGAAAUGAUGUGAUAUACAGUGGUAAACCUAUAUAUAGUUAUAGGUAAAGCUCAUGUAUUAGUAUUAACCAGGCUAGCACAUUGACCACUCUUUAAAUUUCAGCAAAUUCACUAUUGUUUGUUUUUAAAGGUGAUUGAGAGCCAGCUGAGGAAGAAGAUGGAAGAGGUGAAGGAGCUCUUUUCUGAGACCAGUGAUGUUUUUAGUCAGCUGGAAGCUGCCAAGGGGAAGGUGGCAUCUGAUAUUGCAGAUCACCUGUCCUCCAUUCAGACUAUUACAAAUGCACUGACCACAUCUGAGAGCCCACUGGUCCUCAAAACAAUCCAGGUGAAUGUUUAUGCUUUAAGACUAAGCUGAGAACAGAUUCAAAUGCAAUGCAGCAGUGUAGUGAAGUUCAGUUUUGGCACGUUUUGAUCUACUGUACUUGUUUUUUUAUUUUUAUUUAUUUAAACCUUCAAUCAGUUCACCUAAAUAUUUUUUUGAUGAGCUAACCCUUUAAUGCAACCAUUCUGGGUGGCAGGGCUUAUCGGAGCAGUUGCAAGCGGAAGCAGAGCAGGCAGAUGCAUUACUGCAGCAGAUAAGUCUUCUGGCCAGCAUUGCAGGUCUAGAAAACCUGCAGACGCUGGCUGAAGAUGGAGCUCACCUUCGAGAACGCAUCUGCAUGGCCAGAGAGCUGGUCAUAGAGAAGAGAGAGCAAGCAAUUAACCCCAAUAGACCUGAAAAUCAAAUGGUCCAAGACCCUAAGCACAUCAAGCCCUUGAUUGAAAAAACAGAAGAUGCUGCGCCAGAGAUACAGUCUGAAACUAAUGGUAAAACAGAGGAACAGUCAAAGACACAAGAUGAGCUGAAGGACUUCAAAGAGCAGGCCUGCAGCUGGGCCAGUGAACUGCAUCUGAAGGUUUCUGAGGAUGUGAACAGAUGGGUAACACCUGAGGAGAAACUCACAGCAGUGCAGGUAAUAUUCUUGCCAUGGGUCUAUUAUUAGUUCUUAAAGGGUGUGCAUCUUUAAAAUGCCUUAAAUGAAAUGCGAAAAUUUUUAGCUUUG